rnacentral:lncRNA from 1 species
GGCGUCAGCGCGCAGCUCCGCCCAGCCUGGAAGUAACAUUCGCACCCGGCGCCAGGAUCGCGGAAACCCAGCAUUCCACACUGUACUGCUUCUGACCCAGGAACUCACUUCACAGCCAAAGAAGUGUGACAGUGGGCCCACAAUAAUGGAAUCAGCUGGUGUUACCGUGUUCCCGACCAUCCUGAAGCAGCUGGCCUGAUAAAAAGAUGGAAUGGCUUUUUCAAGACGCUCUUACAGCACAAGUUAGGUGGCAGUAGCCUGGCGUGGGGCAGCAUUCUCCAGAAGGUGGUAUAUGCUUUGAAUCAAAGUACCACAUGUGGUCUGUUUCUCCUAUAGCCAGAUCUAUGGGUCUACAAACCAAGGAGUGGAAAAGGGAAUAGUUCCUAUCACCCCUAGUGACCUUCUAAGAAAAAUUUUGCUCCCUGUUCCUGUGACCUUAAUUUCUGUUGGCUUAGAAGUUUUGGUUCCAGAACUGGGAGUGUUCCUGCCAGGAGUCCCAAUAAACAUUCCAUUGAACUAGAAA